rnacentral:rRNA from 1 species
UUCCGUAGGUGAACCUGCGGAGGGAUCAUUACCGAGUUAUACAACUCAUCAACCCUGUGAACAUACCUAAAACGUUGCUUCGGCGGGAACAGACGGCCCUGUAACAACGGGCCGCCCCCGCCAGAGGACCCCUAACUCUGUUUUUAUAAUGUUUUUCUGAGUAAACAAGCAAAUAAAUUAAAACUUUCAACAACGGAUCUCUUGGCUCUGGCAUCGAUGAAGAACGCAGCGAAAUGCGAUAAGUAAUGUGAAUUGCAGAAUUCAGUGAAUCAUCGAAUCUUUGAACGCACAUUGCGCCCGCCAGUAUUCUGGCGGGCAUGCCUGUUCGAGCGUCAUUACAACCCUCAGGCCCCCGGGCCUGGCGUUGGGGAUCGGCGGAAGCCCCCUGUGGGCACACGCCGUCCCUCAAAUACAGUGGCGGUCCCGCCGCAGCUUCCAUUGCGUAGUAGCUAACACCUCGCAACUGGAGAGCGGCGCGGCCUUGCCGUAAAACACCCAACUUCUGAAUGUCGACCUCGCGGACAAGUACGCUUUCUCGG